rnacentral:lncRNA from 1 species
AUGCUCAAAAAUUUCCAAGCCAGGCCUCAGCAAUACGUGAACCGUGAACUUCCAGAUGUUCAAGCUGGUUUUAGAACAGGCAGAGGAACCAGAGAUCAAAUUGCCAACAUCUGCUGGAUCAUUGAAAAGGAAAGAGAGUUCCAGAAAAACAUCUAUUUCUGCUUUAUUGACUAUGCCAAAGCCUUUGACUGUGUGGAUCACAAUAAACUGUGGAACAUUCUGAGAGAGAUGGGAAUACCAGACCACCUGACCUGCCUCUUGAGAAACCUGUAUGCAGGUCAGGAAGCAACAGUUAGAACUGGACAUGGAACAACAGACUGGUUCCAAAUAGGAAAAGGAGUAUGUCAAGGCUGUAUAUUGUCACCCUGCUUAUUUAACCUAUAUGCAGAGUACAUCAUGAGAAAUGCUGGGCUGGAAGAAGCACAAGCUGGAAUCAAGAUUGCUGGGAGAAAUAUCAAUAAGCUCAGAUAUGCAGAUAACACCACCCUUGUGGCAGAAAGUGAAGAAGAACUAAAAAGCCUCUUGAUGAAAGUGAAAGAGGAGAGUGAAAAAGUUGGCUUCAAACUUAACAUUCAGGAAACAAAGAUCAUGGCAUCCAGUCCCAUCACUUCAUGGGAAAAAGAUGGGGAAACAGUGGAAACAGUGUCAGACUUUAUUUUGGGGGCCUCCAAAAUCACUGUGGAUGGUGAUUGCAGCCAUGAAAUUAAAAGACGCUUACUCCUUGGAAGGAAAGUUAUGACCAACCUAGAUAGCAUAUUAAAAAGCAGAGACAUUACUUUGCCAACAAAGAUCCAUCUAGUCAAGGCUAUGGUUUUUCCAGUAGUCAUGUAUGGAUGUGAGAGUUGGACUAUAAAGAAAGCUGAGCACCGAAGAAUUGGUGCUUUUGAACUGUGGUGUUGGAGAAGACUCUUGAGAGUCCCUUGGACUGCAAGGAGAUCCAACCAGUCUAUCCUAAAGGAGAUCAGUCCUGGGAGUUCAUUGGAAGGACUGAUGUUGAAGCUGAAACCCCAAUACUUUGGCCACCUGGUGCGAAGAGUUGACUUAUUUGAAAAGACCCUGAUGCUGGGAAAGAUUGAUGGCAGGAGGAGAAGGGGAUGGUUGGAUGGCAUCACUGACUCAAUGGACAUGAGUUUGUGUAGGCUCUGGGAGUUGGUGAUGGAGAGGGAGGCCUAG